UAAUAUUCCGGAACUGUACAGCAGUAAAAACCACUAUGGCGUAGUCUGUCGAGCCGUUCCGGAAACCACCGAAAAUACUGUGUAAUCUAUCGUUUUACUAAAGCCUUGACAAUUAGGUAACUUUUUCGCACAUUACUAGCCUCGGACGAUUUUACGCACUAAAAUGAUAGAUUACCAAAUGCAAAUACUACUACGCAAUUGUUUUACUGUUUUUUACCGCUGAACAAUUCCGGAAUAAUCGAUGCUAUAUCAUGAUUUGACCUAGCGUCGGAAAUUAAUUCUCCUUAAAGAAUGUUAACUAAACUCAACAAACAUUCGGAUAAUUUCCGACGCUAUAUCGUGAGACUACCCACUUAAACUUGAAAUAAUUAAAAAUACAAAAUAAUUAGCAGAUUAGACCUAUUUAAAUCUAUGCAAAUUUUUAAACAUUAGGCCUAGUAUGUAGGCCUAUUAAAAAUAAUGUUGCAAGUUACAAAAACAACAAAGUGGCAAUGUAAAGUGUGUGGUCAGAAACAAUCCACAAUAAAGGUGAAUACUCUUUGAAAAUGAUAGACUACAGCAAAAUAGACAGGGAGUGUUAAAAUCCUGGCCUGUGCACUAGAGAUUUCAAAAUAUGGAAUGCCGAGAGCCACUAUUUUAUAUUCUUAAAACUUAUACUGAAUGUAUAUGCACAUGGGACUGGUGCAGAUUGUCGUAAAUAUGUCCAAAAGCUGAACACUGUUCGAGGUCAAAUAGAUGAAGUAAGUGGUGAGAAAAGUUUGGAGGGUGCCAGCUCACAGUCUGUGACGCUUGAUGCUCAUAGUAUUGGCACUUCAUCCAACUGCAAACCUCAAGUAGACAAGGCAAAAAGCAAAUGGUCAGUUUUUUUAGACGAGUCAGUGAGCCAGCAAAAUGUGAGUGGACACUUUGAAAAUGAAGAAACUGACCAUGUCACAACUGAUUGGGCAGAGUUGAGGGAUUCAAAAAAACGUAAGCGAGUUGAGCAUCAUACAAGUUUUACAAAGAGUUUGAGAACUUCAUGUGACCAGACAGUAGAGGUGAUCAAGAAUUCUGGUUGGCCAAAAGAUUCAGCUAAAAGUUCAGCUAGCCUCUCUUUUGAAAAUGUAUGUCCUCCAAUCUACAAAUCAAUUGGACAGAGACAACAAAAUAGCAGAGACAGACAUCUUGGUGUUCCUGUAAGGGGUGCAGACACAAAUGACUGGCACUCUGCCAGUAAUCCUGUGAUCAUUGGUGCAUCAGUUCAAGUUCCUAAAGAAUGGGAUCACCAAGUGCAGAUUACAGCCCCUAUACAAACAGCCAAUAAACCAAACAAGGCAAAACAAAAAAGUCUUUCCAAUAAAUGGGAUGUUUUCCUUGACGAUAAUGGUGAUGAUAAUGGUGAUGAAAGCUAACCUGUGUGGUAGGUCAGGGGGAGAUAACUUUAUUCUGAGAAAUCUGAUACAUAAGUCUCCUACUUCUAUAGUACUAUUCAAAAAAAAUAAUUGCUCUGGCCUUUCUGAUCAAGAUAGAAAGUCAGAAGCAGACUUCAAAAAGAUAGACCUAUGUUAUUUUGGAUUGAAGCAAAUGGUGUGACA